GACGAACGCUGGCGGCGUGCCUAAUACAUGCAAGUCGAACGAACCGCGACUAAGUGCUUGCACUAAGUCAAGGUGAGUGGCGAACGGGUGAGUAACACGUGGGUAACCUACCUCAUAGUGGGGGAUAACAGUCGGAAACGACUGCUAAUACCGCAUAGGACAUAGGAUCACAUGAUCCAGUGAGGAAAGGUGGCGCAAGCUAUCGCUAAGAGAUGGACCCGCGGUGCAUUAGCUAGUUGGUAGGGUAAAGGCCUACCAAGGCGAUGAUGCAUAGCCGACCUGAGAGUGUGAUCGGCCACAUUGGGACUGAGACACGGCCCAAACUCCUACGGGAGGCAGCAGUAGGGAAUCUUCCGCAAUGGACGCAAGUCUGACGGAGCAACGCCGCGUGAGUGAAGAAGGUCUUCGGAUCGUAAAGCUCUGUUGUUAGAGAAGAACAGCGCAUAGAGUAACUGCUAUGCGUGUGACGGUAUCUAACCAGAAAGCCACGGCUAACUACGUG
rnacentral:rRNA from 1 species